AAUCCAUAGGUUAAUGAGGCGAACCGGGGGAACUGAAACAUCUAAGUACCCCGAGGAAAAGAAAUCAACCGAGAUUCCCCCAGUAGCGGCGAGCGAACGGGGAGGAGCCCAGAGCCUGAAUCAGCAUGUGUGUUAGUGGAAGCGUCUGGAAAGGCGCGCGAUACAGGGUGACAGCCCCGUACACAAAAGCGCAUGUGCUGUGAGCUCGAUGAGUAGGGCGGGACACGUGGUAUCCUGUCUGAAUAUGGGGGGACCAUCCUCCAAGGCUAAAUACUCCUGACUGACCGAUAGUGAACCAGUACCGUGAGGGAAAGGCGAAAAGAACCCCGGCGAGGGGAGUGAAAAAGAACCUGAAACCGUGUACGUACAAGCAGUGGGAGCACCCUUUGGGGUGUGACUGCGUACCUUUUGUAUAAUGGGUCAGCGACUUAUAUUCUGUAGCAAGGUUAACCGUAUAGGGGAGCCGCAGGGAAACCGAGUCUUAACCGGGCGUUAAGUUGCAGGGUAUAGACCCGAAACCCGGUGAUCUAGCCAUGGGCAGGUUGAAGGUUGGGUAACACUAACUGGAGGACCGAACCGACUAAUGUUGAAAAAUUAGCGGAUGACCUGUGGCUGGGGGUGAAAGGCCAAUCAAACCGGGAGAUAGCUGGUUCUCCCCGAAAGCUAUUUAGGUAGCGCCUCGUGAAUUCAUCUCCGGGGGUAGAGCACUGUUUCGGCUAGGGGGCCAUCCCGGCUUACCAACCCGAUGCAAACUGCGAAUACCGGAGAAUGUUAUCACGGGAGACACACGGCGGGUGCUAACGUCCGUCGUGAAGAGGGAAACAACCCAGACCGCCAGCUAAGGUCCCAAAGUCAUGGUUAAGUGGGAAACGAUGUGGGAAGGCCCAGACAGCCAGGAUGUUGGCUUAGAAGCAGCCAUCAUUUAAAGAAAGCGUAAUAGCUCACUGGUCGAGUCGGCCUGCGCGGAAGAUGUAACGGGGCUAAACCAUGCACCGAAGCUGCGGCAGCGACACUCAGGUGUUGUUGGGUAGGGGAGCGUUCUGUAAGCCUGUGAAGGUGGCCUGUGAGGGUUGCUGGAGGUAUCAGAAGUGCGAAUGCUGACAUAAGUAACGAUAAAGCGGGUGAAAAGCCCGCUCGCCGGAAGACCAAGGGUUCCUGUCCAACGUUAAUCGGGGCAGGGUGAGUCGACCCCUAAGGCGAGGCCGAAAGGCGUAGUCGAUGGGAAACGGGUUAAUAUUCCCGUACUUGGUGUUACUGCGAAGGGGGGACGGAGAAGGCUAUGUUGGCCGGGCGACGGUUGUCCCGGUUUAAGCGUGUAGGCUGGUUUUCCAGGCAAAUCCGGAAAAUCAAGGCUGAGGCGUGACGACGAGGCACUACGGUGCUGAAGCAACAAAUGCCCUGCUUCCAGGAAAAGCCUCUAAGCAUCAGGUAACAUCAAAUCGUACCCCAAACCGACACAGGUGGUCAGGUAGAGAAUACCAAGGCGCUUGAGAGAACUCGGGUGAAGGAACUAGGCAAAAUGGUGCCGUAACU
rnacentral:rRNA from 1 species